UUUCAUUAUCAUUUUACAAGCAUUGAUGCAUCUGACAGCUUCCAAAGGCUUGGAAGGUACGUUAAUGAUGCAGCUAUAGACAACCCCAUCUUAUGCAUGUUAUGAGAAGUUAAAAGUGUUUAACAACUACUCCAGGCUUUUUCUUUGCAAGAAGGGAUAUUGAUAGAGGGAAGGAGAUCAGAUAUGACUAUGGAGAUCCCAUGCCCUAUGGACAAUCUUCCUUGGAGUUCAUCACUCAUCAGGAAGCAUUUUGGAGGCAAACCCUGUUGCAGUAUUUCUACAUGUUCCACAGAUAGUACAGACUAGUCAGGACCUUGUAAAUUCACAUGUUCAACAGCUUAGGCAUUUUAGUACAGAGUGGAUUAUUGAGGCAGACCCUGAUGGAAAACUUGCACAUGUUCCACAAACCAGUGAAGACCAUUUUGCAGAAUAUAAACUUUUUCCACAGAUAAGCCAAGACCCUAAUGGUGUUCAUGUGUGUGUGGUUAAUUAUUUGCUCUGAAGCUGAUAUAUGGACUGAAUAUAAAACUGUCUUUUUCUACAGUUAAGUCCAUCUUAAUCUGAAAAUACUACCGGUACAUUUUGAAUUAUGCUUUAUUAUGCAGAAAAAAAAAUAAUUAGUUUCAAAUAUGAAAAGUCUAUUGAUACACUGCUUUGCAAUUCCAAAAGUGAUAAUGUGAUAAGUUUUGAUGUGAAUAUGUGACAUGUGCCAUUAUCAAUUUUCAUAAAUAAAAUCAAAUACAAAGGCCA